rnacentral:tRNA from 1 species
GCGGGGAUCGCCCAGCCUGGUCAACGGCGCUAGGUUGAGGGCCUAGUUCUUUAGAGAUUCGUGGGUUCAAAUCCCACUCCCCGCA